GACGAGGGGUCCUAGCGUUGUUCGGAAUUACUGGGCGUAAAGGGCGCGUAGGCGGCCUUCUAAGUCGAACGUGAAAUCCCCGGGCUCAACCCGGGAACUGCGUCCGAGACUGGAAGGCUCGAAUCCGGGAGAGGGAUGUGGAAUUCCAGGUGUAGCGGUGAAAUGCGUAGAUAUCUGGAGGAACAUCGGUGGCGAAGGCGGCAUCCUGGACCGGUAUUGACGCUGAGGCGCGAAAGCCAGGGGAGCAAACGGG
rnacentral:rRNA from 1 species